rnacentral:rRNA from 1 species
AUUGAACGCUGGCGGCAUGCCUUACACAUGCAAGUCGAACGGCAGCGGGGACUUCGGUCCGCCGGCGAGUGGCGAACGGGUGAGUAACGUAUCGGAACGUACCUUUCAGUGGGGAGUAACGUAGCGAAGUUACGCUAAUACCGCAUAUUCUGUGAGCAGGAAAGCAGGGGAGUCGCAAGACCUUGCGCUGAUUGAGCGGCCGAUAUCAGAUUAGCUAGUUGGUGAGGUAAAGGCUCACCAAGGCGACGAUCUGUAGCGGGUCUGAGAGGAUGAUCCGCCACACUGGAACUGAGACACGGUCCAGACUCCUACGGGAGGCAGCAGUGGGGAAUUUUGGACAAUGGGGGCGAACCCUGAUCCAGCCAUGCCGCGUGAGUGAAGAAGGCCUCGGUU